rnacentral:rRNA from 4 species
GACACGACUCUCGGCAAUGGAUAUCUUGGCUCUCGCAUCGAUGAAGAGCGCAGCGAAAUGCGAUACGUGGUGCGAAUUGCAGAAUCCCGCGAAC